GUCCAGGGUAGCCUAGUGGACAUGGCAUCUGCCCGGUAAGCGGAACAGUGUGGGUUCGAUUUCCAUCCCUGGGCA
rnacentral:tRNA from 1 species